rnacentral:rRNA from 1 species
GCGAUAGCCUCAGUAACGGCGAGUGAAGCGGCUACAGCUCAAAUUUGAAAUCUGGCCUCCUUUGGGGGUCCGAGUUGUAAUUUGCAGAGGAUGCUUUGGCAUUGGCGGCGGUCUAAGUUCCUUGGAACAGGACAUCGCAGAGGGUGAGAAUCCCGUACGUGGGCGCCUGCCUUUGCCGUGUAAAGCUCCUUCGACGAGUCGAGUUGUUUGGGAAUGCAGCUCUAAAUGGGAGGUAAAUUUCUCCUAAAGCUAAAUACCGGCCAGAGACCGAUAGCGCACAAGUAGAGUGAUCGAAAGAUGAAAAGUACUUUGGAAAGAGAGUCAAAUAGCACGUGAAAUUGUUGAAAGGGAAGCGCUUGCAGCCAGACUUGCCCGCAGUUGCUCACCUAGGCUUUCGCCUGGGGCACUCUUCUGCGGGCAGGCCAGCAUCAGUUUGGGCGGUCGGAUAAAGGCCUCUGUCAUGUACCACCCCUCGGGGUGGCCUUAUAGGGGAGGUGUAAUGCGACCAGCCCGGACUGAGGUCCGCGCAUCUGCUAGGAUGCUGGCGUAAUGGCUGUAAGCGGCCCGUCUUGAAACACGGACCAAGGAGUCUAACAUCUAUGCGAGUGUUUGGGUGUCAAGCCCGGGCGCGCAAUGAAAGUGAACGGAGGUGGGAACCCUUCGGGGUGCACCAUCGACCGAUCCUGAAGUCUUCGGAUGGAUUUGAGUAAGAGCAUAGCUGUUGGGACCCGAAAGAUGGUGAACUAUGCUUGAAUAGGGUGAAGCCAGAGGAAACUCUGGUGGAGGCUCGCAGCGGUUCUGACGUGCAAAUCGAUCGUCAAAUUUGGGCAUAGGGGCGAAAGACUAAUCGAACCAUCUAGUAGCUGG